UCGGAGGCAGCAGUGAGGAAUUUUCCGCAAUGGGCGAAAGCCUGACGGAGCAACGCCGCGUGAGGGAUGAAGGUCUUCGGAUCGUAAACCUUUGUCUAGAGGGACGAUAAUGACGGUACCUCUGGAGGAAGCCACGGCUAACUACGUGCCAGCAGCCGCGGUAAUACGUAGGUGGCGAGCGUUGUCCGGAAUUACUGGGCGUAAAGGGCGUGUAGGCGGCCUUUUAAGUCAGACGUGAAAACCCUGGGCUUAACCCAGGACCUGCGUUUGAUACUGAAGGGCUUGAGGACCGGAGAGGACAGUGGAAUUCCCAGUGUAGCGGUGAAAUGCGUAGAUAUUGGGAGGAACACCAGUGGCGAAGGCGACUGUCUGGACGGCACCUGACGCUGAGGCGCGAAAGCCAGGGGAGCAAACGGGAUUAGAAACCCGAGUAGUCCU
rnacentral:rRNA from 1 species